rnacentral:rRNA from 1 species
ACGCGUGGAACCUUACCAGGUCUUGACAUCCUCUGACACUCCUAGAGAUAGGACGUUCCCCUUCGGGGGACAGAGUGACAGGUGGUGCAUGGUUGUCGUCAGCUCGUGUCGUGAGAUGUUGGGUUAAGUCCCGCAACGAGCGCAACCCUUGAUCUUAGUUGCCAGCAUUAAGUUGGGCACUCUAAGGUGACUGCCGGUGACAAACCGGAGGAAGGUGGGGAUGACGUCAAAUCAUCAUGCCCCUUAUGACCUGGGCUACACACGUGCUACAAUGGAUGGUACAAAGGGCAGCAAAACCGCGAGGUCGAGCAAAUCCCAUAAAACCAUUCUCAGUUCGGAUUGUAGGCUGCAACUCGCCUACAUGAAGCUGGAAUCGCUAGUAAUCGCGGAUCAGCAUGCCGCGGUGAAUACGUUCCUGGGCCUUGCACACACCGCCCGU